AAAAAAAGGUCAUACAUGUAGGACAAACUGAUUCAAUAAAUUCAAUAAGCAUUAAUUAAGUACUUACUAUGUGCAAGACUGUAAGAUUCAGUGGACGUGGGGCCAGAUCUGGAGCCAAGGCUACCAAGUUUUGGUUCUUCUAACUCUGGCUGGGCACUCUAGGACAAGUCACUUAGCUCAAACAUUCUAAAUUGCAGGACAGAAGCCAAUCUGCAUAAGCUUCCUCUUUGGAAACUCCCUACUCUUUGGACCCAAGAAAGGUGUAAAACACUGCUUUAGGGUGGGGGCAGGGGGCUAUAAAGAUAAAAACCAAAACAGCUCCGGCCUUUAAAGAGAUUCCAUUCUACUGAGGUGGAGCUAGGGGAGGUUAAAGAGAAGAGAGAUGCUGUGUAAACAAAUGCCAGGUCCCAAAUAAGGAAAAGCCUUUACUUAUACCUUCCAAAGGCCCUUUGGGGAAGUUGGAGAAGAGGAGUAGACUUUCUGAGCUUCCUGUUCCUGGAUCAGAUUCCUCUAACUCACUAGGGAAAUGCAAGGUCCAAGAAGAAAGACUUCUGGAGGCUGAGACAGAAGACAGAGCUGGAAGGAAACAAACAAUUGGUGGGAAGGAAUAGUGGGCCUGAGACCUGGCUGGGCUUAUACCCUUGAAAUAAAUACUUAGCAGAGCUGUACCACACAGGAAAAACACAAAGUGGAAUUCUCAUGGGCAUUGUGCUAGAGUUGGAUGCAGGAAUGAGAGGAAAUCCUAGUCUCUAGAAUAGACAAAGCAUCUAUGGGAACGUUCUUCCACCCCUGAGAAAAAACAUCACUUGGAGGGAGGGUUAGGGUAUAGAUUGGGUUGAGGUAGCAAGAGAUGGGGGAUACAACAGAAAUUCUGUUAGAGAAGCUGAGACAAAUAACCAAUACCCCGCUUGGCCUCUUGGCUGCUUCGAGCCAUCUGCUGGGAGCUGAGAAGAACUUCAGGAAGAGUGACUGUACAACACAACGUGGAGACACCUGCAUCCAUCGCAUACUAUGGGUGGUUGAACUUAUUGGUUCACAGGAAAUCACCAUGAGGGUCAUUGCACAAUUUGGAACCUGGCAAGAGUAUCUACAGGAAGAAAUACCUCUGCAAAUCUGCCUUAGAAACAAGUGUCUGGAUCCUUUUGGAGGAGAGCUUCGGUGCCAGAUUUAAGACAAAACUGGAAGUUUAAAUCCAAGUCUUCCUUGUUUCAGGGCCUUAUAAAAUUACUGGUUAUAAUAUUUCAGUCUAUGGCUGGGAACACCUUAAGGGUCCCACAAAGAUGCUACAUUGGAGAUCUAAAUUACUCCUGUGAAGUGAUAUAAAAACAAUAACAAGCAUGUAUGCAGCACUUUAAAAAUGAGGAGGACCAGGUACAUCAAUUGAUACAAUUUUUUUUAGAUACUUGAAAUUCAAAAAAAGAUUAGGUAUUUGUACUUGAUACUUCAUGAUUUUUCUUCUAUGUCUUUGUUAUCAAUAAAAAGACUUUUCAAAUAACA
rnacentral:lncRNA from 1 species